AGGGGAAUUUUCAGUGGUUUGUGCCCUGCUACUGAUGAAGAGGCUGGAUGGAUGGGAUCCUCAAGCAGGAGCUUCAUCCAGAGUAGACUUCCUGGAUAAGACACAAGAAGGCAAAAAGCAACAUGGAUGCAGCUGGAGGUCAUUAACGCAGGAGAAAACCAAAGACCACAUGUUCUCACUUCUAAGCUGGAGUUAAACACUGAGCACACAUGAACAUGAAGAUGGGAACAACAGACACUGGGGCUACUA